rnacentral:tRNA from 1 species
GGAAAGAUGACCGAGCGGCCGAAGGUGCACGAUUGGAAAUCGUGUGUACCGAAAGGUACCGAGGGUUCGAAUCCCUCUCUUUCCG